GACGAACGCUGGCGGCGUGCUUAACACACGCAAGUCGAACGAAGUGGCGAACGGGUGAGUAACGCGUAAUCAACCUGCCCUUCAGAGGGGGACAACAGUUGGAAACGACUGCUAAUCCCGCAUACUGAAGGAGGGGAUUGCGUCGGAUUAGCUAGUUGGGGGGGUAACGGCCCACCAAGGCGAUGAUCAGUAGCCGGUCUGGGAGGAUGAACGGGCACAUUGGGACUGGGGCACGGCCCAGACUCCUACGGGAGGCAGCAGUGGGGAAACUUCCGAAAUGGACGAAAGUCUGACGGAGCAAAGCCGCGUGAGUGAUGAAGGCCUUCGGGGUGUAAAGCUCUGUUAAGCGGGACGCGGUACCGGAAUAGAAAGCAACGGCUAACUACGUGCCAGCAGCCGCGGUAAUAC
rnacentral:rRNA from 1 species